GUCUCGGUAGCUUAUAUUAUAAAGCAUUAGUUUUGUAAACUAAACAAGGAAAAUUAACCUCUCCUCAAGACA
rnacentral:tRNA from 1 species